rnacentral:rRNA from 1 species
AAACUGCGAAUGGGCUCAUUAAAACAGUUAUAGUUUAUUCGAUGGUCAAAGAUCUAUUUGGAUAACUGCGGGAAUUCUGGAGCUAAUACAUGCUUAAGAGACACGACUUUUUGGAAGUGUUGUAUUUAUUAGGUACAAAACCAGUCCCUUCUGGGUUACUAGGCGAGUCAUAAUAAACGUCCGUAGCGCAUGGCAUGUGCCGGCGCAAAGUCGUUCAAGUUUCUGACCUAUCAGCUUUGGAUGGUAGGGUAUUGGCCUACCAUUGCAUUGACGGGUAACGGAGAUUAGGGUUCGAUUCCGGAGAGGGAGCCGAGAAACGGCUACCACAUCUAAGGAGGCAGCAGGCGCGCGAAUUACCCAAUCCUGAUACAGGGAGGUAGUGACAAGAAAUAACAAAGUAAGCCAUAUUCGUGGUUUUACUAUUGGAAUGAGUAGAAUGUAAAACAAUUUACGACUAACAAUUGGAGGGCAAGUCUGGUGCCAGCAGCCGCGGUAAUUCCAGCUCCAAUAGCGUAUAUUAAAGUUGUUGCGGUUAAAAAGCUCGUAGUUGGAUUUCUGCUUGGAAGGCCCGGUCUCCUUCUUAAGGAACAAUCGGCGCCGUCUAGGCAUCCUCUGGAAAACGGUAUUUGUGCUUGAUUGCAUGGUGCCGAGUUCUGGACAUUUACUUGAGGAAAUUAGAGUGUUCAUAGCAUGCAAUUGCAUUGAAUAUAUUAGCAUGGGAUAAUAAUAUAAGACUGAGUUUUUAUUUGUUGGUUUCUAAGAAUUCAGUAAUGGUAAAUAGGAAUUGUCGGGGUACUUGUAUUAACUCGUCAGAGGUGGAAUUCUUGGAUUGAGUUACGACAAACUACUGCGAAAGCAUUACCAAGGAUGUUUUCAUUGAUCAAGAACGAAAGUUUGGGGAUCGAAGAUGAUUAGAUACCGUUGUAGUCCAAACCAUAAACUAUGCCAACUAAAAAUCGGAGAGUGAUUAUUUAUGUCUUCUUCGGCGAUUUAUGAGAAAUCAAAGUCUUUGGGUUCGGGGGGGAGUAUGAUCGCAAGGUUGAAACUUAAAGGAAUUGGCGGAAGGGCACCACCAGGAGUGGAGCCUGCGGCUUAAUUUGACUCAACACGGGAAAACUCACCAGGUCCAGACAUAGUAAGGAUUGACAGAUUGAUAGAUCUUUCUUGAUUCUAUGGGUGGUGGUGCAUGGCCGUUCUUAGUUGGUGGAGUGAUUUGUCUGCUUAAUUGCGUUAACGAACGAGACCUUCACGUACUAAAUAGAGUAGCAAAUCUUCGGAUUCGUAUACUACUUCUUAGACGGACUUUAGGCUUUUAAGCUUAAGGAAGCAGGAUGCAAUAACAGGUCUGUGAUGCCCUUAGAUGUUCUGGGCUGCACGCGCGCUACACUGAUAAGUUCAACGAGCAUUCAAACUUGCACGGUAGUGUCGGUUAAUCUUUGAAAUCUUAUCGUGAUGGGGAUAGAAAAUUGUAAUUAUUUUUCUUCAACGAGGAAUUCCUAGUAGCUCGAGUCAUCAGCUCGAACUGAUUACGUCCCUGCCCU